UUGGAAAAACCUGUAUAUGUGCACAAAAUUCUCAAAUGGGCAAUAUUUUCAAGAAAAAAAGAAACCAGAGUUUUUGUUCCUCUGGUUUCCCAGGAAUAAAUAUUGUGAUCUUUUUGGGAAUAGGACGGACACCAGGCAACUCAGCACCAUUGAGACAUAGGUAGUUCUGUUUCUGAAGGGUAGCAGACCUCUGGGGUACUUAGGAAAUUUCUUUAGCUGCAGGAUAAGAUGAAACUUAAUGGAUUCAGAUUUUGAGAAGUAAUAUUUUAAAUUACUAGAUGCCCAAGUUCUUGCCCAUGUUCUAACUUGCCAGAACACCAUCUCAUACAGAUCCAGUUUCUAGGCAGCUCUGCAACAGUUGUAAGGGUUAAUUUUUCUGCUGUAUCACUGCACCCAGAUAUCCUUCCCAUGUAGAUACAUGCAACUUUAAUACAUGAACAUGACAUAAAUCUCUGCAGAUUUGGACUGUUUCUUCCACCUAACACAGUUUAUAGUUAUAAAAAAUUAAAUAAAGAACUGAAAAUAUUAAACAGGGAAAUCAGUUAAGCCCUACCAGCUAUUAUCUCUGUCCAUUCAGGAUAGUGUGGCAGGAGCAAAACAUGGCUUAUAAUGCAGGAAAACCUUAUAAAUUAUUAUCUCUUACCAAAACUUUCAAGGAAACAUACAUUUGAUAACAGUUGUUCUCCCAUGAGUCAGACUAUACUUACACAAUGGAUGCUGAUAAGAAAUCUAAACCAUAAUCCAAUGCGAGAGAUUACUUAGCCAUUUCCUUAGUUAUGUGGCAGAGAAUGAGGGAAAACAAAUAUACUAAAAUAAGGAAGAAAGAAAGUAAAUAUUUUUUUCUGCAACCUAGCACCCCUGCAGAAUAGCUACAAGGUAUUCUGAAAUUUGCAGGUAAAACUGUGUGGUAGUGGCUGAAGGUCUUUAGCUGGGAAACACACACAAAACCCAAUCAAGGACCUUUACUGGUUUUAGGGGGCCUCAGGUACUGCAUACCUCUUUCUAUCAUUAAGAAGAACAAUAAGAAUUUUAAAUAUGCUGUAUUGUUAAUGCCAGUAAAUUAAACCCAAACCCUGCAAUGGCCUCCUCAACCAUCAGCAAAGGAGAACGUGGGGAAAAAAGGAAUCUGAUUUUCAAAGACAGCAUGUACCCAGAAAGACUGCUUCUUUAUAUAACAGCUGUGCAUGCUACCCUCAAAAACUAACCACCAAGGGGGGGCAAAAACCAGAACUAAUGUUUUUUAGCCUUCACACCUCUCAUUUUCAGAAUGUAAGGUAAACUCUUCAUUUUGGUCACACUGUCUUGAAGUGAGCUGAUUACUGAUUAUGAUAACUUACCAUAUCCUAAACAGCAUGAAGUUAUGCCACACUCAAAGCACAGUGCUGUACAGCCUUGCUAGUUUAUUUUAGCAAUUUGUGAGACAUUAAUCUCAAAUGUGUCACUCUGCUGCAAGUUCCUGAUACCAGAUCUCUGAGCUUGUCCUUGGCACAAUAUCUGUGUAGCAAGCAGGUGUGGUCAAUUCUCCACAUUUACCUUGUUCAAAACAACAGUAGUUUUUAAUAUUUGCCUAUUAUGUCCACCGUAAUCUAUUUGCUGUGCUGCUACAGAGCUUUAAAUCAUACAGAGUUAAGUGCCUAUAGUUAAUUUUAAGAAUUCUCAUUGGCAUCAGCUUAAGACCUCAUGAGAAAUAUAGAGCACUAAACAUAUGUCACCUCUUAAAUCAUGAAACAACCCAAUGGCUGAAGUCCAACCUCCUCUCCACCUGCAGUUUAACUUUACUGAGAUAAUAUGGGAAGGUAAACAGUCCCCCCCUUUGGAAAAUAAGAAGCACUGAUAAAAAAUUGGUAAGCUAAUUUAUAGUGCACUGAUGCAGGAAUGGGAUGAAAAAAAUGUAGAGAAUAUGGUACCUUACUACACUGCUAAUACUGAAAGAUAAGAAAUUCUGCUGUAGGUAAGUCUUAAAAUUUGUAUUAGUGCUGUGUGUACCCUAGACUUGUGCCACUUUGAGGAUAAGAAUCUUACAGGAAGAAUAUGAUUGCUGAUGAGGCACAUUUAUAUUUAUGAAAAAACAUGGCAUCAGUGACAUGUUGUCAGCUUAAUAACACUCUUAUUUUGGGCAAUGGAUCCAAGGUCACAGAUUUCUAAGUUUAAAUGUAGAUGGAGGAAAAUAAGGAAUGCUGAAUAUAGGUCAUGAGGUUCCCAAAAAGAGGAUAGUGGAGAUAGGGAACAGAGCUUGGAAUAGUGGAUUGUAAAGAGCUGGCUCCACUAGACUGUACUGAAUAGCCCUCUCAUAGCAUUGCUAUUGCAAAAUACAGAAAGCAUAAACUUAA